AUUGAACGCUGGCGGCAGGCUUAACACAUGCAAGUCGAACGAGUGGCGGACGGGUGCGUAAUUCUUUGGCAUCUAGCUUAUGUAGCGGGCUAACUACGGUAAAAUUUAGCUAAUACCGCUUAACAUAAGAUCAGGCGAAGUGGGAUUAGGUAGUGGGUGAGGUAACGGCGCACCAAGACGACGAUCUCUAGCGGGUCUGAGAGGAGGACCAGCCACACUGGGACUGAGACACGGCCCAGACUCCUACGGGAGGAAGCAGGGGGGAAUAUUGCGAAAUGGGGGAAACCUGACGAAGCAAUGCCGCGUGAAUGAAGAAGGCCUUCGGGUUGUAAAGUUCUGUCGGUAGCGAGGCGUUAACUACAGAAGAAGCACCGGCUAACUCCGUGCCAGCAGCCGCGGUAAUAC
rnacentral:rRNA from 1 species